GGCCUUGUAGUCUAGAGGUACGAUACUUGCUUUGGGUGUCUGAAAUGCAAGUGGCCUGGGUUCGAUUCCCAGCAAGGCCC
rfam:Pisolithus tinctorius Marx 270 unplaced genomic scaffold scaffold_108, whole genome shotgun sequence.